AAGGUGGCCUACGCAACUGCUAUGGAUUGGUUCAUCGCUGUGUGUUACGCUUUU
rfam:Lepisosteus oculatus linkage group LG4, whole genome shotgun sequence.